rnacentral:rRNA from 1 species
GAUGAACGCUGGCGGCGUGCCUAAUACAUGCAAGUCGAGCGAACGGACGAGAAGCUUGCUUCUCUGAUGUUAGCGGCGGACGGGUGAGUAACACGUGGAUAACCUACCUAUAAGACUGGGAUAACUUCGGGAAACCGGAGCUAAUACCGGAUGAUAUUUUGAACCGCAUGGUUCAAAAGUGAAAGACGGUCUUGCUGUCACUUAUAGAUGGAUCCGCGCUGCAUUAGCUAGUUGGUAAGGUAACGGCUUACCCAGGCAACGAUGCAUAGCCGACCUGAGAGGGUGAUCGGCCACACUGGAACUGAGACACGGUCCAGACUCCUACGGGAGGCAGCAGUAGGGAAUCUUCCGCAAUGGGCGAAAGCCUGACGGAGCAACGCCGCGUGAGUGAUGAAGGUCUUCGGAUCGUAAAACUCUGUUAUUAGGGAAGAACAUAUGUGUAAGUAACUGUGCACAUCUUGACGGUACCUAAUCAGAAAGCCACGGCUAACUACGUG